rnacentral:rRNA from 1 species
AUUGAACGCUGGCGGCAGGCCUAACACAUGCAAGUCGAGCGGAUGAAGGGAGCUUGCUCCUGGAUUCAGCGGCGGACGGGUGAGUAAUGCCUAGGAAUCUGCCUGGUAGUGGGGGAUAACGUCCGGAAACGGGCGCUAAUACCGCAUACGUCCUGAGUGAGAAAGUGGGGGAUCUUCGGACCUCACGCUAUCAGAUGAGCCUAGGUCGGAUUAGCUAGUUGGUGGGGUAAAGGCCUACCAAGGCGACGAUCCGUAACUGGUCUGAGAGGAUGAUCAGGCACACUGGAAGUGAGACACGGUCCAGACUCCUACGGGAGGCAACAGUGGGGAAUAUUGGGCGAUGGGCGAAAGCCUGAUCCAGCCAUGCCGCGUGUGUGAAGAAGGUCUUCGGAUUGUAAAGCACUUUAAGUUGGGAGGAAGGGCAGUAAGUUAAUACCUUGCUGUUUUGACGGUACCAACAGAAUAAGCACCGGCUAACUUCGUG